UGCUUGGGGUGGCAUAAUGGUUUGAGCAUUGAACUAUGACUCUGGAGACCAGGGUUCGAUUCCCCGCUCGGCCA